UAACACAUGCAAGUCGAGGGGCAGCAUUUCAGUUUGCUUGCAAACUGGAGAUGGCGACCGGCGCACGGGUGAGUAACACGUAUCCAACCUGCCGAUAACUCGGGGAUAGCCUUUCGAAAGAAAGAUUAAUACCCGAUGGCAUAAUUAGACCGCAUGGUCUUAUUAUUAAAGAAUUUCGGUUAUCGAUGGGGACGCGUUCCAUUAGGCAGUUGGUGAGGUAACGGCUCACCAAACCUUCGAUGGAUAGGGGUUCUGAGAGGAAGGUCCCCCACAUUGGAACUGAGACACGGUCCAAACUCCUACGGGAGGCAGCAGUGAGGAAUAUUGGUCAAUGGGCGCAGGCCUGAACCAGCCAAGUAGCGUGAAGGAUGACUGCCCUAUGGGUUGUAAACUUCUUUUAUAUGGGAAUAAAGUUUUCCACGUGUGGAAUUUUGUAUGUACCAUAUGAAUAAGGAUCGGCUAACUCCGUGCCAGCAGCCGCGGUAAUACGGAGGAUCCGAGCGUUAUCCGGAUUUAUUGGGUUUAAAGGGAGCGUAGGUGGACAGUUAAGUCAGUUGUGAAAGUUUGCGGCUCAACCGUAAAAUUGCAGUUGAUACUGGCUGUCUUGAGUACAGUAGAGGUGGGCGGAAUUCGUGGUGUAGCGGUGAAAUGCUUAGAUAUCACGAAGAACUCCGAUUGCGAAGGCAGCUCACUGGACUGCAACUGACACUGAUGCUCGAAAGUGUGGGUAUCAAACAGGAUUAGAUACCCUGGUAGUCCACACAGUAAACGAUGAAUACUCGCUGUUUGCGAUAUACAGUAAGCGGCCAAGCGAAAGCAUUAAGUAUUCCACCUGGGGAGUACGCCGGCAACGGUGAAACUCAAAGGAAUUGACGGGGGCCCGCACAAGCGGAGGAACAUGUGGUUUAAUUCGAUGAUACGCGAGGAACCUUACCCGGGCUUAAAUUGCAUUUGAAUAUAUUGGAAACAGUAUAGCCGUAAGGCAAAUGUGAAGGUGCUGCAUGGUUGUCGUCAGCUCGUGCCGUGAGGUGUCGGCUUAAGUGCCAUAACGAGCGCAACCCUUAUCUUUAGUUACUAACAGGUCAUGCUGAGGACUCUAGAGAGACUGCCGUCGUAAGAUGUGAGGAAGGUGGGGAUGGCGUCAAAUCAGCACGGCCCUUACGUCCGGGGCUACACACGUGUUACAAUGGGGGGUACAGAAGGCGGCUACCUGGUGACAGGAUGCUAAUCCCAAAAGCCUCUCUCAGUUCGGAUCGAAGUCUGCAACCCGACUUCGUGAAGCUGGAUUCGCUAGUAAUCGCGCAUCAGCCAUGGCGCGGUGAAUACGUUCCCGGGCCUUGUACACACCGCCCGUCAAGCCAUGAAAGCCGGGGGUACCUGAAGUACGUAACCGCAAGGAGCGUCCUAGGGUAAAACUGGUAAUUGGGGCUAAGUCAUA
rnacentral:rRNA from 1 species